GCCGGCGUAGCAUAGUGGUAGUGCACCUGAUUUGUAAUCAGGCGGUCGGGGGUUCGAAUCCCCCUGUCGGCU
rnacentral:tRNA from 1 species